rnacentral:rRNA from 1 species
GCAAGUAGAACGCUGAAGGAAGGAGCUUGCUCUUUCCGGAUGAGUUGCGAACGGGUGAGUAACGCGUAGGUAACCUGCCUGGUAGCGGGGGAUAACUAUUGGAAACGAUAGCUAAUACCGCAUAACAGUAGAUAUCGCAUGAUAGCUGCUUAAAAGGUGCAAUUGCACCACUACCAGAUGGACCUGCGUUGUAUUAGCUAGUUGGUGAGGUAACGGCUCACCAAGGCAACGAUACAUAGCCGACCUGAGAGGGUGAUCGGCCACACUGGGACUGAGACACGGCCCAGACUCCUACGGGAGGCAGCAGUAGGGAAUCUUCGGCAAUGGACGGAAGUCUGACCGAGCAACGCCGCGUGAGUGAAGAAGGUUUUCGGAUCGUAAAGCUCUGUUGUAAGAGAAGAACGAGUGUGAGAGUGGAAAGUUCACACUGUGACGGUAUCUUACCAGAAAGGGACGGCUAACUACGUGCCAGCAGCCGCGGUAAUACGUAGGUCCCGAGCGCUGUCCGGAUUUAUUGGGCGUAAAGCGAGCGCAGGCGGUUAGAUAAGUCUGAAGUUAAAGGCUGUGGCUUAACCAUAGUACGCUUUGGAAACUGUUUAACUUGAGUGCAAGAGGGGAGAGUGGAAUUCCAUGUGUAGCGGUGAAAUGCGUAGAUAUAUGGAGGAACACCGGUGGCGAAAGCGGCUCUCUGGCUUGUAACUGACGCUGAGGCUCGAAAGCGUGGGGAGCAAACAGG